rnacentral:misc_RNA from 1 species
UCUUCUAUAACCGCUACAGUGUUUUCAGUUAUAUUCACAGCAUUGUAAACAGACAAAAUCCUUUCUCUUUGUCACACUACACAGCCACAAACCUCAUCCUUUCAUUAGAAUAGAACUCCUCCACACUAUUUUCUUACUCUGUUUUCACAUUAAACCUCUGCACAUUAUAUCUCAGUUUUAAAUUGCAGCCAAGAAAUUGCAACCCGGUCAUGUGAUUCUAGGACAUAAAACAGCUAACUUUUGGGUCAAAACAUUAUUUAUUCCAAUUUCAAUUAGAGUCUACAAUAUUCUGGAAGCCCAAUUUUCUAACUCUUAACCCUAAAUCCCCAAUAAGAUCAAAACCUAAUCCAUCAAAUAGGGUAUUUAUAGGCAGAUCUGAAAUCUACUCCACAUUAUUAAUACAAUGACUUUCCAAACAGCAAGAAAAAUGGACUUGCAUUAAUAUAGCAAAUGUCAAUUACUGCCCCGUCAUCAUGGAAAGGGUCGUUGGACUUGAUAAGCAGGCAUCUUUUAGUCUUUAUCUAUAAUCCAACCACAAUGCAAGAACCAGAAUCCACCCAAUGAAGUCUUUUCUAAACAGCUGGAAGAUAAUUCUCCCAUCAGAAAUCAAGUACUGCCCAUCAUCAAUCCAACUUGUGCUGUUUGCAAAUCAGCAGAGGUUCGAGGGAAAUGAUACAGCGGUUUCCAUAACUGGAAGGGUUCCUGCAGCAGUCCACUACUCAGAAAGACCAUUCGGGCCAGCCCAUUUCUCACCCAGAGUGUUUGAGGAAAAUCCUUUAUAACUUUCAGCUGAUAAAGGGAUCUUCAUUUCAGAGUGAUGUGGAGUCACAUCAUAUAAUUCUACAGGAGGAG